rnacentral:rRNA from 1 species
GAUGAACGCUGGCGGCGUGCCUAAUACAUGCAAGUCGAGCGAACGGACGAGAAGCUUGCUUCUCUGAUGUUAGCGGCGGACGGGUGAGUAACACGUGGAUAACCUACCUAUAAGACUGGGAUAACUUCGGGAAACCGGAGCUAAUACCGGAUGAUAUUUUGAACCGCAUGGUUCAAAAGUGAAAGACGGUCUUGCUGUCACUUAUAGAUGGAUCCGCGCUGCAUUAGCUAGUUGGUAAGGUAACGGCUUACCAAGGCAACGAUGCAUAGCCGACCUGAGAGGGUGAUCGGCCACACUGGAACUGAGACACGGUCCAGACUCCUACGGGAGGCAGCAGUAGGGAAUCUUACGCAAUGGGCGAAAGCAUGACGGAGCAACGCCGCGUGAGUGAUGAAGGUCUUCGGAUCGUAAAAAUCUGUUAUUAGGGAAGAACAUAUGUGUAAGUAACUGUGCACAUCUUGACGGUACCUAAUCAGAAAGCCACGGCUAACUACGUG